GUCUACGGCCAUACCACCCUGAACGCGCCCGAUCUCGUCUGAUCUCGGAGCCUGGAGCGUUCUCUAAAUUGCAGGACGAGCCGUGGCUG
rnacentral:rRNA from 1 species